GCCCAACCUUAUUGGAGAAUCAGAGAUUGAGUAAGCAAGUCCUGAGAAAUGAUUGGGAGAGACGACUCCGGAUGUGCUUGGCUGAGCACUGAUUGGUGCAUUGAGGGGUCAGGAAGAGCAGUUCCACACGAGGAUUGGCGGUGAAGUGUCCCAUGGAAACGGAACCCAGAACUGCAGCCAGGAGCUUGCACGGGGGCGGGGCAGGGUGUUUCCAAGGCGCCUGCGCUAAACCAGCUUCUCGGCGCCAUUUUGUCCCGGCAGCAGUGGUCGCAGCUCUAUCGCAUUUUAUGUUCCUGGCUGGAGGAAGCGGAGUUUUCAGCCGGUAGAUUUAUUUUAAUGUGGCGCCCAUUCAACGUUCGCUCCGGGACAGCACUCAAUGAAGACCGGUGGAGUCUCAGAGCUUUUGAAAAGUUGGUUGAAGACAACAUAUCAGUGGCAAACAGCUCAAGUAUGAUAGAGAAUAAGACUGAUUUUCUGGGGAAAUGAAGCUAUGUAUCCCAGUUUUGAAAGGCUUGAAUCUGCUGGGUCUUGAAAAAUCCCAUUUCUGACAAAUGCACAGAGCAUUUUCUACUGGACAUGCGUCUCACAGAGGAAAGAAAACUAAUAUUCACCAAGAUAAUGCUUCCCUCCACCUUCUGGUUUCAUGAAAAAUUAAGCCACUUCCUUCUUUUGAAAAAAAGUAAAGAAUUAAAUUCAAAUGUCCCUUUAGGAGUGACAGAAAUAAAAACAGGUGGAUCAUCUCAUCAGAUAAGUUAUUUUACAUUCUAAAUAUAUUAUGUUGGAAACUCUAAACCAGAACUUUGUUCUUUAAAAAUUAUGUUUUGUUUUUGUUUUUUAGGGUACCAGUAUCAAGAUGAUUUACAGCAAUAAGGUAUUCAGUCUUAAACAUUGUAUUCAUGUCAAAGUAAAACAUAUCAGCUUUUUUUCCUGGAGGCUUGCCAUUUCUCAAUGAUAUGAUGGCCCUACAAGUAAACCUACAUUAAUAAUGAAAAUCUCUCAUUUUUCUUUCAUAAUAGAUAAGUUUAGAUUAAUCCAGUAUCACGGUAAAUUUAUAUUUCUCUAGUACCAGUGUCUUCUCUCAUAGAGGGUUGUUAGCUGUACUGAUAGGAAUUUAAAAACAGUUAAGCCCACAGCAUAGUAAGUGAAGUUUUAGUACUGGCCCUAGUUGACUGAGGGAGAGUCAAUUUCUGUCUGAAAAUAGAUCCAGUUUAGUAUUAUUUGGGCAUUUGUCCAAGGCCAACACUUAUCACUUUCUGCUAAGAAUGAUUUGUAAAAUAUAGCAGGUAAUCUCAUACUAUGGAAUUCAUGGUAUCAAAAUACUGGUUUUGAGUUGUUAAAUAUUCAGGUAUAAUUAUAUGCUAUUUAAACUACAAAGAUGCUCAAAGCCCAGCAAUACCCUGCAGCUAAACUCUCAGUGACUAGAUUACCUUCUUAGGAAAGCAAUAACAGUUGAAUGGAGUGAUGCUGGCAUGAACUCAAUUUAGGGUGUGUAUACUUGGCCUGAGUUCAGAUUGUUCCUGCUCUAAGUAGUGCUGUUCAGAGCACAUUUGUAAUUCUUUCAGGCCACAGUUCUGAUUUUUGUAAAGACAGAAAGUGACAUAACAGAAAUCCUUAACUUACCACAAUAAAAGGAAAAAAGCAAAAAUAUUUUUUUGACUUCUCAGAUAGAGAAAACAUCUUUCUUACACCUAAAAGUCAAAACUGGCUGAUGACCAGUAUAAAAGAACCAAACAGAAUGAAUUCAUCUUAUUCCAAAGACUCAUUUUACAGUAUUCUAAGGAAUUUUAGUAGUAGGCAUAAGUCUGUAUUUUAAUAAUAAGCAAAUGUAAUGAAUGUCAUUGAUCAUUUCUCCAAUUGUGUUAAGUAGAUAUUAACCAAACUUCAGUGGCUACAAGUCAAAAAUUUAAUGAAAACUGGUCAGGGGCUAAAGUUACAAGGAACUGUUAUAGAAUAGAUGCUGAAGUAAAUGUUACAUAUUAUCAUCAUCUGAUUCAUCCUCUUCCUUCAAAGAUUCCUGUUAAGAGAAAAAUGGUAUUUAUAUUUGAUUAAUAUCAUUAUGUCCCACUUAUUAGCACUCAUUAAAAAUUUAUCUAAAAACUUUAAAAAUGAAAAACGAAUACUUCUUUAGAAUAUAUACAACUGAAAAGCAUUUUGUGUCCUGAAAAUCCUGUCUACUUUUAACCCCCCAAAAAAACUUAGUACUUAGUUUUUAAUGCUGAAGCUCACCUUAGCAUAUUUCUCUGCUUCUUCCCUUAUAUCUUUUGGAACAAUUUCAUGUCUUCCUUUAGUUACUGUAAAUUAAGCCAUAUAUUCAGUUGAAUUAAAAAUGAGCAUACUGAUUUACAAUACCAUACAAUUUAUCCAAAUCCUUAGGUAGUAUGAUUGUUCACCUAAGGUUGUAAUACUGUACUAAGAAUAAUAAAGAAGAUACUUUGUACUAA